rnacentral:tRNA from 1 species
GCCUGGGUGGCUCAGUCGGUUAAGCGUCCGACUUCAGCUCAGGUCAUGAUCUCACGGUUCGUGGGUUCGAGCCCCACGUCAGGCU